GGAACAAUAUACUCUAGCAAUAUAUAACGAAUUUUUUUCUUCAUCUUGACAAAUUCUAUCUCCUGUUCGUAAUCCAGCAGACUAAAAUUGAUGAGAGUUUCAAGCAUUUUUUUGCCUUGGUCAUGCGCAUCUAUUAGGCCAUCGAAUAUCCAUCUUUGCAUCAACAACUCUGAAGCAAUCCACCCAUUCUCACAAAAAAAGUGCAUAAUUUCUCAAACAUUUUCUUGUUUUGUCAUCCUGCAGACGCUCAUAGCUAAACAUCAACACAUUAGCCAUUAGGAUUUCUAUUUUUUCUUGGUCAGAGUCAGGUUUCCUUCUCAACGUUUCAAGCGCUCUUCUCCACACCUCAACAUCAGAAACAUCUUUCAAUGCCCCUGCCAUCAGGACGAUGGCAAGUGAAUAGUCAGCACACAUGUUAAGCACUUGAGUUGCUAGCGGUUUGAGGCUUGAAGAAUCAGCAACUUCACCAACAUUCCCAUGGAACAAUUCCCAAGACGAUAAAUCUUUUAGUCCUAUCUUCGAAUACACUCCCAUUGCAUCGCAUACUUCCUCUGAUCUAGCUAUCAGAACUAUCUUGCAACCAUUUUCAGCGGUUGGCCUGGGGAUUCCAACCUUUUCCAAACUAAUAAACUGACGAACAUCAUGUAGAAUUAACAAAAACUUCAUGCGCUCUAACACCAUUAACAGUUCCCAUGAGUUAAUAUUCGUGCUAUCAAUCACAUUUGAGGGCAGUUGUCCUGAAAUUUCCAGCUGCAAAUUUCUCAGAUUCCAAACUUUGGGAACAGUAACCCAAAUAAUGUUUUCGAACAUAUCCGCGACCAUGGUCGCAAACAAAUACUGCAAGCCUUCUACAAAACGUUUUUGAAUCUUUGCUCCUCCAUAAAUCCCAAUCCUGCCCACAUCUGAAUCUUCAAUGCUUUCCAUGAUUCUUCUAAGACUACAUUCCAUUUCUUGAUCUGUAGACACAUCAAAUGGUUUAUUUAUUUUGGCUGAACAACUGCUCUCCUGAACUGGUGCAGUCUCUAGUCCUAUUUUUUGUGGUCCAGCUAUGCUUCGAUAAUAGUCGCAAUCUGAAAUGUCACCUUUAGGUAGCAUAAGUCCUGGGGUGUUGCUUCUGCCUAUCUCGUAUUUAAUGGAAAGUGCACCGCUCUCUUUUCUCCCUCCUACACGUUCUAUAGAUGCCAUUGUUUUCUCAACCAGCUCUUCAACAAUCUUAGUCAUUAUUCGACCUCUCCUAGGUAGUGACGAUGUUUGUCCCUUGCUUGUCUGUUUAUCUUCAAAAAUCUUAGUCAUUAUUUGAACUCUCCUAGGUAGUAACGAUGUUUGUCCCUUGCUUGUCUGUUUAUCUUCAAAAAUCUUAGUCAUUAUUUGAACUCUCCUAGGUAGUA
rnacentral:misc_RNA from 1 species